rnacentral:precursor_RNA from 10 species
AUAUCCCUCAUUCCACAGAUGCAGUUCAAUUGAAACUUGCAGGAACGGGCCUUGUCCCAACAAGUCUUUUUCAACAGGUUUCACAUGAACUCCAUCACAUGCUUCGGUCGUUCAG